CACAGCAUACACACACAGCAACUCAGGUUUGGUUGGAACUUACACACACAGCAACUCAGGUUUGGUUGGAACUUACACACACAGCAACUCAGGUUUGGUUGGAACUUACACACACAGCAACUCAGGUUUGGUUGGAACUUACACACACAGCAACUCAGGUUUGGUUGGAACUUACACACACAGCAACUCAGGUUUGGUUGGAACUUACACACACAGCAACUCAGGUUUGGUUGGAACUUACACACACAGCAACUCAGGUUUGGUUGGAACUUACACACACAGCAACUCAGGUUUGGUUGGAACUUACACACACAGCAACUCAGGUUUGGUUGGAACUUACACACACACAGCAACUCAGGUUUGGUUGGAACUUACACACACACAGCAACUCAGGUUUGGUUGGAACUUACACACACAGCAACUCAGGUUUGGUUGGAACUUACACACACACAGCAACUCAGGUUUGGUUGGAACUUACACACACACAGCAACUCAGGUUUGGUUGGAA